GUUUGAGUUGGUGGACGAUUGUGGAUCGUAUUUUGAGCUGAAUUGAAGACGCAGCGGGAUUAUCGAGCGGGAAAUCCUACAGGUCAGGAGAACCAGGACGGUGAUCGGGCUGCUUAGAGUAGUGUUAUGUGAAUUACAGCAUUAUAUUGUGAGGUUUGUUAUGCUCAUUUAGAGCUUUGCAAUUUUACUUUGUAAGAGUGAAUUGUAAUAAUUAACUCGAGGUUUUCGAGUUUUUGUGUUGAGUGGCGAGUGGUGUGUUUGUUUGUGAGAAAAAAAUUCAGAACGUUAUUUGUAUUAAUUGUUUAUUCAUGUUUCGGAUUUGAAUUGGUUAUUCAAA